rnacentral:rRNA from 1 species
UGCCCUAGUAACGGCGAGUGAAGCGGCAACAGCUCAAAUUUGAAAUCUGGCGCAAGCCCGAGUUGUAAUUUGUAGAGGAUGCUUCUGGGCAGCGGCCGGUCUAAGUUCCUUGGAACAGGACGUCACAGAGGGUGAGAAUCCCGUAUGUGACCGGCGCGCACCCUCCACGUAGCUCCUUCGACGAGUCGAGUUGUUUGGGAAUGCAGCUCUAAAUGGGAGGUAAAUUUCUUCUAAAGCUAAAUACCGGCCAGAGACCGAUAGCGCACAAGUAGAGUGAUCGAAAGAUGAAAAGCACUUUGGAAAGAGAGUUAAAAAGCACGUGAAAUUGUUGAAAGGGAAGCGCUUGCAACCAGACUCCGUGGCGGUGUUCCGCCGGUCUUCUGACCGGUCCACUCGCCGCCGCGGGGCCAACAUCGUCUGGGGCCGCCGGACAAGACUGGAGGAAUGUGGCUCCCUCGGGAGUGUUAUAGCCUUCAGUGAUGCGGCGCGUCCCGGGCGAGGUCCGCGCUUCGGCAAGGAUGUUGGCGUAAUGGUUGCCAGCGGCCCGUCUUGAAACACGGACCAAGGAGUCUAACAUCUAUGCGAGUGUUCGGGUGUCAAACCCCUACGCGUAAUGAAAGUGAACGGAGGUGGGAGCUUCGGCGCACCAUCGACCGAUCCUGAUGUCCUCGGAUGGAUUUGAGUAAGAGCAUAGCUGUUGGGACCCGAAAGAUGGUGAACUAUGCCUGAAUAGGGUGAAGCCAGAGGAAACUCUGGUGGAGGCUCGCAGCGGUUCUGACGUGCAAAUCGAUCGUCAAAUUUGGGUAUAGGGGCGAAAGAC